AUUGAACGCUAGCGGGAUGCUUUACACAUGCAAGUCGAACGGCAGCGCGAAGGAAGCUUGCUUUCUUUGGCGGCGAGUGGCGAACGGGUGAGUAAUGUAUCGGAACGUGCCCAGUAGCGGGGGAUAACUGGCCGAAAGGUCAGCUAAUACCGCAUACGCCCUACGGGGGGAAAGGGGGGGAUCGCAAGACCUCUCACUAUUGGAGCGGCCGAUAUCGGAUUAGCUAGUUGGUGGGGUAAAGGCCUACCAAGGCGACGAUCCGUAGCUGGUUUGAGAGGACGACCAGCCACACUGGGGACUGAGACACGGCCCAGACUCCUACGGAGCAGCAGUGGGGAAUUUUGGACAAUGGGGCAACCCUGAUCCAGCCAUCCCGCGUGUGCGAUGAAGGCCUUCGGGUUGUAAAGCACUUUUGGCAGGGAAGAAACGGCCUGGGAUAAUACCCUGGGCAACUGACGGUACCUGCAGAAUAAGCACCGGCUAACUACGUGCCAGCAGCCGCGGUAAUACGUAGGGUGCAAGCGUUAAUCGGAAUUACUGGGGCGUAAAGCGUGCGCAGGCGGUUCGGAAAGAAAGGUGUGAAAUCCCAGGGCUUAACCUUGGAACUGCACUUUUAACUACCGGGCUAGAGUACGUCAGAGGGGGUAGAAUUCCACGUGUAGUCAGUGAAAUGCGUAGAGAUGUGGAGGAAUACCGAUGGCGAAGGCAGCCCCCUGGGAUGAUACUGACGCUCAUGCACGAAAGCGUGGGGAGCAAAGCAGGCAUUAGAUA
rnacentral:rRNA from 1 species